CAUACCCGUAGAGACAGUAGGAGAGGAGGUAGAGAUAACAUACCCGUAGAGACAGUAGGAGAGGAGGUAGAGAUAACAUACCCGUAGAGACAGUAGGAGAGGAGGUAGAGAUAACAUACCCGUAGAGACAGUAGGAGAGGUAGAGAUAACAUACCCGUAGAGACAGUAGGAGAGGAGGUAGAGAUAACAUACCCGUAGAGACAGUAGGAGAGGAGGUAGAGAUAACAUACCCGUAUAGACAGUAGGAGAGGAGGUAGAGACAGUAGGAGAGGUAGAGAUAACAUACCCGUAGAGACAGUAGGAGAGGAGGUAGAGAUAACAUACCCGUAGAGACAGUAGGAGAGGAGGUAGAGAUAACAUACCCGUAGAGACAGUAGGAGAGGAGGUAGAGAUAACAUACCCGUAGAGACAGUAGGAGAGGUAGAGAUAACAUACCCGUAGAGACA